UUCGAGGCACUCCAUAACUGCGACAAUAUUGCAGCCCUGAUACUCAAUUUGCAACACUGUUGCAGAUGCUCAGCUGAUACUUAAGCAAAAUAAUUGCAAUAUUUUGCGCGAAUUGUGACCGAAAGUGAAACUUUAACCAUGAACUUUUUAAUAAAUAUAGCGAUAGAUAAUUUUGAAAGCAGUGAUAAUAACCUGCUGCUUAAGUAUGGAAAAAAUAGAAAACAAAAUUUUUUAAGAAAGAGAAAGUGGUUCCUCGCUGAAAUUUCAAAAAAGAGAACAGUGACGAAGAUGAUAAAGGUUUGGAAAACAAUUCCAUUGUACCAUGAUGACACAUAUUUCACGCAUUUUCGCAUGACUCGUGAAACAUUUGCAGACUUGAAAAAUGCGUUAGAACCUUUUUGGUCAACACCACACGGGGAAUAUUCCUUGGAACAUUCCUUGCAUAUGACUCUUUGGAAGCUAAGCAAUAGUAGAGUCACAUAUCGAGAGCUUGCCGAUAGAUUUAAUGUUGGGCAAGGAACUGCCCACAAACUUUUCCUUAAAACAAUCAAGACAAUCUGCAAACUUAAAAACGAGAUAUGUUGGCCGUCAGUUUUACAGCAGAAAAAAAUAAUGGAAAACUUUCAAACAAGCCGGGUAAAUUCAUUUCCUUUUGUUGUCGGAUGCUUAGAUGGAACGCAUUUCAAAAUUAACACUCCUCAAACAGAUGCAAUCAGUUAUUAUGACCGUAAAGGAAAUUUUUCAGUUAUUAUGCAGAUGUGUUCAUCGGCUACCCAGGUAGCUGUCAUGAUGCCAAUGUGUGGAAAAAUAGCCCACUUUACAAAGGGAUCACAUCUGGACAAAUAAAACUUGCGAAAGAUGCAAUUAUUCUAGCCGAUUCAGCAUAUCCUGUUUCAAGAUACUUAAUUGCUCCUUUUAGAGAUAACGGACAUCUUUCCAGAGAGGAAAAACAAUUAAACUAUUAUAUGAGUUCAACCCGAGUAUUUAUCGAGCAAACAUUUGGAAUUUUCAAGGCUAAGUUUAAAAUAUUGAAUCAUAUUGAUAUGCGCAAUAUAGAAGACAUAUCAACUGUGAUAUUAGCUUGCGCAAUUUUACAUAAUUUUAUACAGCGAAGCAAUCCGGUUCAUUCUGAAGACAAUCAUACGAGUAUGCCUGAAAAUUUAGAAAAUUCAAAUGAUCACGAUAUGAUUGAACUACCUUAAAAUAUAAAUGACACUAAUGAAGGAAUUAUCAGACGAAAUAACUUGAAAAUGCUAUUUAUUUCAUAGAAGUAUUAUUUCAAUAAUGUAUAUAUGUAUGUACAUAUCAAAUAAAUGAUUAAUUGAUUGAAAUCUUGUUAUAUCAGUUAAUUUAAUUAAAAUCACCUACCCUAGAAUACUAAACCAUUUUCUGUUUCUUUUUUAAUAAAAUAUUAAUUAAUUAAUUAAUAUUUAUUUUAUUGAAAAUAGGAACUCAUACUUAUAAUAAUAAUAUAUAUUAUAUUAAUAUAAACAUAAAGUUUAUUAUAAAAUGAACACUUUUUAUUUUUGGCACAAUCCCUCCAAAACUUGCCGCAAAUCCAACAUUGCUUUAAUCCUUUCCUUGUCAACCAGCAAUUUUUCCUUUUCGAUCUUCAUAGUUUCUUCGUGCCGAAUCUGCUCUUUCCGCGCUUCUUCUUUAAAAAAAUCCAAUGUUUCAUAUGCAAUAGUUUUUGGUCGUUUUUUUCGACUGACACCUUCUGCAUCGCUUUCUUCCACGCACCUUUCCUCCUCACUCACUCCACUUUCAACUAAAUAUUGCAGUGAGCUCUGGAGGUUCCUUAUGGGAGGCUCAAUGGAGUGCCUAUUUCCGAAAACGUUAUCAAAAUCCUUAAAAUAUUCCCACGUCGUGGCACCUCGACCUGUCCCGUCGUUGCGUUUUUUAAUCCUCUUAUACGUCGCAAACAAAUUUAAAAAUUUCCUCUGCAUAAAUUCUUUUGUUUGCGACACUUCCGGAUUUAUAAUACGCAUAUUUUCGACCACCUUACCCCAUAGGACAGACUUUUUCCUCUUCCCGCCAGCAAACUCGGGCUCCAGGUCAAGUCGGGACCUUACUAGGAGUUUUGUAACCGGUGAAUUUAACUUUUCACUGAAAAAAUAUAAAUCACGAUAUAAUAUAUAUUAUUAAAUUCAAUAAAUACCACUUUUACUUACCUCUCUUCUUCCAUUAUUGGCGCGCAAUACAAAAAUUUUUGAAGCAACAAAAUACAACUAUUUAAGAAUUACUAUAAAAUAUUUGCGCGCAGUAGAAAAAUUUUUGAUGCAUAAUGAUGACAUUUGGCGCGCAUCAAGUGUCAAAUUUUUACUCGCUCGAACGUCUGACUUUUGCACGAGUUGCCACAUUUUUACAUCGAAUAUGAUGUUUGCGCAAUAUUGCGCAGUACUGCCA